rnacentral:rRNA from 1 species
AUACGUAGGUGACAAGCGUUAUCCGGAUUUACUGGGCGUAAAGGGUGUGUAGGCGGUCUUGCAAGUCAGAAGUGAAAUUCCUGAGCUCAACUCGGGCGCUGCUUCUGAAACUGCAGGACUUGAGUGCUGGAGGGGAAAGUGUAAUUCCUAGUGUAGCGGUAAAAUGCGCCGAUAUUAGGAAGAACACCAGUGGCGCAGGCGGCUAUCUGGACUACAACUGACGCGUAGGCGCAGAAGCGUGGAUAGCAAUAAGGAUUAUGUAGACAGAUAAUCAUCGCCGUAAACGCUGAAUACUAGGUGUACGUGGGAACGACUCCAUCUGUGACGCAGUUAACACAAUAAGUAUUCCACCUGGGGAGUACGAUCGCAAGAUUGAAGCUCAAAGAAAUUGACGGGG